rnacentral:sRNA from 1 species
CUAGAUGUCAGCUAGAAAACGGUUCUUGUUUACUUUCGCCGUUUCGUUGGAUUUUUUAACGUCUACCGUAACGUCGUACGCAAUAGCAAUCUCCUUUUCCACGCUAUCGGUGCCGUAUGGCUUUUACAAGAUUUAUCAAGGAUAUACAUUAUGUCUAACACUGUUACUGGUACAGUAAAAUGGUUCAACGAAACUAAAGGUUUCGGCUUCAUUCAACAAGAAAACGGUCCUGACGUUUUUGCACACUUCUCUGCAAUUACUGGCGACGGUUUCCGUACUCUAGUUGAAGGUCAAAAAGUUGAGUUCGUAGUAUCUCAAGGUCAAAAAGGCCCUCAAGCUGAAAACAUCAAAGUAGUUUAAUCUGUAUUACCAGAAAAAUUACCAAUAGCCAGCAAUAUGCUGGCUAUUUUAC